rnacentral:lncRNA from 1 species
CUCGCUUCAGUGUAGUGCUGGCAGUGGAGGAGUACGUGUGUGGCGUCCUCUCGUUCCGGGCAUCCGUUCGGGCAAUCUGCGAGUGUUUCCGGUUCCAAUCUGCUGAUGAAGUGAUUUAGUUUGUUGUGGCCGCUGCGUAGUCGGAACAAGGCUGAUUGGAUAGUUCUUUUCUUAUUGGUGUGCCAUGUGGCAUUGCGUCGGUCCUUCCGGAUGUUUGUCGCCAGUUGGUCUGCGAUUUCGUUUCCAACGAUUCCGGCGUGUGAGGGUAUUGCUGGGCUUGACUCCCAUUUGAAGUUGGAUAUUGCUUGAAUGGAAGAUUUUGAAUCAGUGAAGAUGGUGGCUGAGUCCAUCUCGUACUUGUUGAGGUAUGUGGAAUGCACAGCUGGCAGUUUUUGUUGUCUCGCACACUGAUCCAUCAGUGUAUACUUCAAGGUGGUUGGUGUUUGGAUUACGAGAGUCCUUCUAUCCAUGUGUUGUCGUACGCCUUCGAGAUGUCCAGGAAUAUUGCUGUGGUUGGGUGGCUGCUGUUGAAGCCGGAUUUGAUGGCUGAUUCUAUUCGGAUUAGAUUGUCGGUGGUGGUACAUCCUCUUCGGAAUCCGGUUUGGACUUUCGGCAUGAUGUCAAUGAGACUGGUCUGUACGAUUCCGCUUCUCCGGGUGGAUUGCCUGGUUUGAGGAUGGGUGUGACGAUGGCACAUUUCCAAUCUUUUGGGAUGUAUCCUUCCCUGAACAUCAAGUUGAUUGUUUCUCGUAUCGAUGUCGCUCGGGAUGCCUUGGCUUGUUGCUGCUCGUCGGAGUUCUUCAAUUUGGGCUUUGAGGUCAUCGAUUUCUUGUCUGGUCGGAGCGUCUUCAUUGGUGUGGUGUCUCGCGAAGAUGGGGCAUGCUGCUGUUCCUGCUUCGUGGUCGUUUCCUUCGCACGUCGGGCACUUUGGUGGGCUGGUGCACUGUUGGUCUUCUUCAUGGGCACAGGCACAGGUUCUACACACUUGA